GACGCGGGCAGCUCCAGGACUCGCCACCCGCAGCGCUCAGGCUCUUCUCUCUUGACAGCACCGCAGCGAUGGAUGGAGAUGGUGAUCCAGGGCCCCAGAAUAGGCUACCGUUUUCUUCCUGCUCCCAGGAAGUCCCUGGGCUCAGGGGCCCAAUCCAGAGAGUGUGAGCCACCCCGAAGAAGCGAGCCCAGAGGAGCAGCCAGAGGAGGCGGGCGCCGAGGCGAGUGCGGAGGAGGAGCAGCUCCGGGAGGCGGAGGAGGAGGAAGAGGCGGAGGCCGUGGAGUACCUGGCCGAGCUGCCGGAGCCACUGCUGCUGCGCGUGCUGGCCGAGCUGCCAGCUACGGAGCUGGUGCAGGCCUGCCGCCUGGUGUGCCUGCGCUGGAAGGAGCUGGUGGACGGCGCCCCACUGUGGCUGCUCAAGUGCCAGCAGGAGGGGCUGGUGCCCGAGGGCAGCGCUGAUGAGGAGCGGGACCACUGGCAACAGUUCUACUUUCUGAGCAAGAGGAGGCGCAACCUGCUGCGCAACCCUUGUGGGGAAGAGGACUUGGAGGGCUGGAGCGACGUGGAGCACGGUGGGGACGGCUGGAGGGUGGAGGAACUGCCCGGAGACAAUGGGGUGGAAUUUACCCAAGAUGACAGCGUUAAGAAAUACUUCGCCUCCUCCUUCGAGUGGUGUCGCAAAGCGCAGGUCAUUGAUCUGCAGGCAGAGGGCUACUGGGAGGAGCUACUGGACACCACCCAGCCCGCCAUCGUGGUGAAGGACUGGUACUCGGGUCGCACUGAUGCGGGCAGCCUGUAUGAGCUCACUGUGAGGCUGCUGUCGGAGAACGAAGAUGUGCUGGCGGAGUUCGCUACAGGACAGGUGGCUGUGCCAGAGGACGGCAGUUGGAUGGAGAUCUCCCACACCUUCAUCGACUACGGGCCAGGUGUCCGCUUUGUCCGCUUCGAGCACGGAGGGCAGGACUCGGUCUACUGGAAGGGCUGGUUCGGGGCCCGGGUGACCAACAGUAGCGUGUGGGUGGAACCCUGAACGACCUCCCCUACCCCCACCAUCCGCCCUCUAAGGCAGAAUUCUGGGGUAGAAAGGCCUUAAUUUAGUUGGUAGCAUCCUCACCUGCCUCGCCCACGCCUUGCACCUGCCUCUCUCCCGCCCCUUCCUUCAGUCUGGUCCCGAGGAAAGAAGGACAUGUUGCUUUACUGUAGGAUGGCUUUCAUUUGCAUCUCCACGGGCAGUCGCUUCUAGAAUGUACGAUCCGAGGGGGUAUGGGGCUGCUGCUGGAUCCCGCGCUCCUAGCAUUGUGCCUGCCUCAAAGUGGGCACUCAAUAAAUAUUUGUCCAAAGAACGCAA